AACUUCAACGAAGCGUUCGGCUU
rnacentral:miRNA from 1 species